rnacentral:piRNA from 1 species
UGAUCAUUCUCAUGAGCAUAGAUGGAAA